rnacentral:rRNA from 1 species
GACGAACGCUGGCGGCGUGCCUAAUACAUGCCAGUCGAACGCAUUUUCUUUCUCCGUAGCUUGCUACACCGAAAGAAAAUGAGUGGCGAACGGGUGAGUAACACGUGGGUAACCUGCCCAUCAGCGGGGGAUAACACUUGGAAACAGGUGCUAAUACCGCAUAAUUCCAUUUACUGCAUGGUAGAUGGAUGAAAGGCGCUUUUGCGUCACUGAUGGAUGGACCCGCGGUGCAUUAGCUAGUUGGUGGGGUAACGGCCUACCAAGGCUGCGAUGCAUAGCCGACCUGAGAGGGUGAUCGGCCACACUGGGACUGAGACACGGCCCAGACUCCUACGGGAGGCAGAAGUAGGGAAUCUUCGGCAAUGGACGCAAUUCUGACCGAGCAACGCCGCGUGAGUGAAGAAGUUUUUCGGAUCGUAAAACUCUGUUGUUAAAAAAAAAAAAGGAUGGGAGUGGAAAGUUCACCCCUUGACGGUAUCUAACCAGAAAGCCACGGCUAACUACGG